AGUGAACGCUGGCGGUAGGCCUAACACAUGCAAGUCGAACGGCAGCACAGAGGAGCUUGCUCCUUGGGUGGCGAGUGGUGGACGGGUGAGGAAUACAUCGGAAUCUACUCUGUCGUGGGGGAUAACGUAGGGAAACUUACGCUAAUACCGCAUACGACCUACGGGUGAAAGCAGGGGAUCUUCGGACCUUGCGCGAUUGAAUGAGCCGAUGUAGGAUUAGGUAGUUGGCGGGGUAAAGGCCCACCAAGGCGACGAUCCGUAGCUGGUCUGAGAGGAUGAUCAGCCACACUGGAACUGAGACACGGUCCAGACUCCUACGGGAGGCAGCAGUGGGGAAUAUUGGACAAUGGGCGCAAGCCUGAUCCAGCCAUACCGCGUGGGUGAAGAAGGCCUUCGGGUUGUAAAGCCCUUUUGUUGGGAAAGAAAUCCAUCUGGUUAAUACCCGGGUGGGAUGACGGUACCCAAAGAAUAAGCACCGGCUAACUUCGUGCCAGCCGCCGCAGUAA
rnacentral:rRNA from 1 species